GAUGAACGCUAGCGGCAGGCUUAAUACAUGCAAGUUGAGGGGCAGCAUGAUAUACGCGAGUAUAUUGAUGGCGACCGGCGGACGGGUGAGUAAUAGGUAGGAGACCUACCUCAUACAGGGGGAUAGCAUAGAGAAAUCUGUGGUAAUACCCCAUGAGGUUAUAUGAAUAGAGGCAUAUAAUCAAAGCAUAAGCGAUUAUGCGGUAUGAGAGGGGCCUACUGACCAUUAGCUAGUUGGUGAGGUAAGGGCUCACCAAGGCGAAGAUGGUUAGGGGUUUUGAGAGAGAGACCCCCCACAUUGGAACUGAGAGACGGUCCAGACUCCUACGGGAGGCAGCAGUAGGGAAUAUUGGGCAAUGGGCGAAAGCCUGACCCAGCCAUGCCGCGUGAAGGAAGACGGUCUUAUGGGUUGUAAACUUCUUUACUACGCGAAUAGAGGUUAGUACGAGAUACUAAUAGGAAGGUAGUGUAGUAAAAGCACCGGUAACUCCGUG
rnacentral:rRNA from 1 species